rnacentral:rRNA from 1 species
AUUGAACGCUGGCGGCAUGCCUUACACAUGCAAGUCGAACGGUAACAGGUCUUCGGAUGCUGCCGAGUGGCGAACGGGCGAGUAAUACAUCGGAACGUGCCCGAUCGUGGGGGAUAACGCAGCGAAAGCUGUGCCAAUACCGCAUACGAUCUGUGGAUGAAGGCGGGGGAACUCCGGGCCUCGCGCGAUUGUAGCGGCCGAUGUCAGAUUAGGUAGUUGGUGGGGUAAAGGCUCACCAAGCCGACGAUCUGUAGCUGGGCUGAGAGGACGACCAGCCACACUGGGACUGAGACACGGCCCAGACUCCUACGGGAGGCAGCAGUGGGGAAUUUUGGACAAUGGGCGCAAGCCUGAUCCAGCAAUGCCGCGUGCAGGAAGAAGGCCUUCGGGUUGUAAACUGCUUUUGUACGGAGCGAAAAGGCUCCCUCUAAUACAGGGGGCUCAUGACGGUACCGUAAGAAUAAGCACCGGCUAACUACGUGCCAGCAGCCGCCGUAAAAC